rnacentral:piRNA from 1 species
UGAUAGAUACAGCCGCUUGCAAACAACAGU